GAUGAACGCUGGCGGCGUGCUUAACACAUGCAAGUCGAACGAAGCACUCUAUUUGAUUUUCUUCGGAAAUGAAGAUUUUGUGACUGAGUGGCGGACGGGUGAGUAACGCGUGGGUAACCUGCCUCAUACAGGGGGAUAACAGUUGGAAACGACUGCUAAUACCGCAUAAGCGCACAGGAUCGCAUGAUCCGGUGUGAAAAACUCCGGUGGUAUGAGAUGGACCCGCGUCUGAUUAGCCAGUUGGCAGGGUAACGGCCUACCAAAGCGACGAUCAGUAGCCGACCUGAGAGGGUGACCGGCCACAUUGGGACUGAGACACGGCCCAAACUCCUACGGGAGGCAGCAGUGGGGAAUAUUGCACAAUGGGGGAAACCCUGAUGCAGCGACGCCGCGUGAGCGAAGAAGUAUUUCGGUAUGUAAAGCUCUAUCAGCAGGGAAGAAGAAUGACGGUA
rnacentral:rRNA from 1 species